CUUUCGGUGGGGGGACUUGGGGAAGGUCCAUUA
rnacentral:rRNA from 1 species